CCUGGUGACUAUAGCAACAGAAUAAUACCCGAUCCCAUUCCGAACUCGUCCGUGAAAGCUGUUUGCGCCGAUGGUACUAUGCCUUAAGGUAUGGAAGAGUAGGUCGUUGCCAGGA
rnacentral:rRNA from 1 species